UGGUGGAGUGAUUUGUCUGGUUAAUUCCGAUAACGAACGAGACCUUAACCUGCUAAAUAGCCAGAUCGGCUUUGGCUGAUCGCCGGCUUCUUAGAGGGACUGUCAGCGUCUAGCUGACGGAAGUUUGAGGCAAUAACA
rnacentral:rRNA from 1 species